rnacentral:rRNA from 1 species
GACAGAGGGUGCAAACGUUGCUCGGAAUUACUGGGCGUAAAGCGUGCGCAGGCGGUUUGCUAAGACAGGUGUGAAAUCCCCGGGCUUAACCUGGGAACUGCGCUUGUAACUGGCAAGCUGGAGUGUGGCAGAGGGGGGUGGAAUUCCACGUGUAGCAGUGAAAUGCGUAGAGAUGUGGAGGAACACCGAUGGCGAAGGCAGCCCCCUGGGCUAACACUGACGCUCAUGCACGAAAGCGUGGGGAGCAAACAGG